UGAGUUACAAGCCCUGUGUUUAAAGGU
rnacentral:piRNA from 1 species